CCUACGGGAGGCUGCAGUAGGGAAUUUUCGUCAAUGGGCGCAAGCCUGAACGAGCGAUGCCGCGUGAGUGAAGAAGGCCUUCGGGUCGUAAAGCUCUGUUGCGGGGGAAAAAAGGCAGCAUCAGGAAAUGGGUGCUGACUGAUGGUGCCCCGCCAGAAAGUCACGGCUAACUACGUGCCAGCAGCCGCGGUAAUACGUAGGUGGCGAGCGUUAUCCGGAAUGAUUGGGCGUAAAGGGUGCGCAGGCGGUCCUGCAAGUCUGGAGUGAAACGCAUGAGCUCAACUCAUGCAUGGCUUUGGAAACUGGAGGACUGGAGAGCAGGAGAGGGCGGUGGAACUCCAUGUGUAGCGGUAAAAUGCGUAGAUAUAUGGAAGAACACCAGUGGCGAAGGCAGCUUACUAAGCCAUAACUGACACUGAAGCACGAAAGCGUGGGGAUCAAACAGGAUUAGAUACCCGGGUAGUC
rnacentral:rRNA from 1 species